GACGAACGCUGGCGGCGUGCUUAACACAUGCAAGUCGAACGGAAAGGCCCUGCUCUUGCGGGGUGCUCGAGUGGCGAACGGGUGAGUAACACGUGAGUAACCUGCCCUUGACUUUGGGAUAACUUCAGGAAACUGGGGCUAAUACCGGAUAGGAGCUCCUGCUGCAUGGUGGGGGUUGGAAAGUUUCGGCGGUUGGGGAUGGACUCGCUGCUUAUCAGCUUGUUGGUGGGGUAGUGGCGUACCAAGGCUUUGACGGGUAGCCGGCCUGAGAGGGUGACCGGCCACAUGAGGACUGAGAUAGGGACCAGACGCCUACGGUACGCAGCAGGGGGAAAUAUUGCGCAAUGGGGGGAAGCGUGAUGCAGCAACGCCGCGUGCGUGAUGACCGCCUUCGGGGUGUAAACCGCUUUGGCCUGUGACGAAGCGUGAGUGACGGUAAUGGGUAAAGAAGCACCGGCUAACUACGUG
rnacentral:rRNA from 1 species